rnacentral:rRNA from 1 species
UACGUAGGGUGCGAGCGUUGUCCGGAAUUACUGGGCGUAAAGAGCUCGUAGGUGGUUUGUCGCGUUGUUCGUGAAAACCGGGGGCUUAACCCUCGGCGUGCGGGCGAUACGGGCAGACUUGAGUACUGCAGGGGAGACUGGAAUUCCUGGUGUAGCGGUGAAAUGCGCAGAUAUCAGGAGGAACACCGGUGGCGAAGGCGGGUCUCUGGGCAGUAACUGACGCUGAGGAGCGAAAGCGUGGGUAGCAAACAGG